rnacentral:rRNA from 1 species
AGUCGAGGGGCAGCAUAAUGGAUAGCAAUAUCUAUGGUGGCGACCGGCGCACGGGUGCGUAACGCGUAUGCAACCUACCUUUAACAGGGGGAUAACACUGAGAAAUUGGUACUAAUACCCCAUAAUAUCAUAGAAGGCAUCUUUUAUGGUUGAAAAUUCCGAUGGUUAGAGAUGGGCAUGCGUUGUAUUAGCUAGUUGGUGGGGUAACGGCUCACCAAGGCGACGAUACAUAGGGGGACUGAGAGGUUAACCCCCCACACUGGUACUGAGACACGGACCAGACUCCUACGGGAGGCAGCAGUGAGGAAUAUUGGUCAAUGGACGCAAGUCUGAACCAGCCAUGCCGCGUGCAGGAUGACGGCUCUAUGAGUUGUAAACUGCUUUUGUACGAGGGUAAACGCAGAUACGUGUAUCUGUCUGAAAGUAUCGUACGAAUAAGGAUCGGCUAACUCCGUGCCAGCAGCCGCGGUAAUACGGAGGAUUCAAGCGUUAUCCGGAUUUAUUGGGUUUAAAGGGUGCGUAGGCGGUUUGAUAAGUUAGAGGUGAAAUUUCGGGGCUCAACCCUGAACGUGCCUCUAAUACUGUUGAGCUAGAGAGUAGUUGCGGUAGGCGGAAUGUAUGGUGUAGCGGUGAAAUGCUUAGAGAUCAUACAGAACACCGAUUGCGAAGGCAGCUUACCAAACUAUAUCUGACGUUG